rnacentral:misc_RNA from 1 species
CGCACAUUGCGCCUACUAGUAUUCUAGUAGGCAUGCCUAUUCGAGCGUCAUUUCGACCACCCUAAGCACUGCUUAGUGUUGGGACCUUACCGCCACGGUAACUCCCUAAAUUUAUUGGCAGGGUCAAGUUAUACUCUGAGCGUAGUAAUUCUUCUCGCUUUGGGGGUUAUCUUGGAGCCUGGCCACAAGCCUAUUUAUUAUUAAAAGGUUGACCUCGGAUUAGGUAGGAAUACCCGCUGAACUUAA